UACGUAGGGGGCAAGCGUUGUCCGGAUUUAUUGGGCGUAAAGAGCGUGUAGGCGGCCAGACAGGUCCGUUGUGAAAACUCGAGGCUCAACCUCGAGAUGUCGAUGGAAACUGUCUGGCUAGAGUCCGGAAGAGGAGUGUGGAAUUCCUGGUGUAGCGGUGAAAUGCGCAGAUAUCAGGAGGAACACCGAUGGCGAAGGCAGGUCUCUGGGCCAUAACUGACGCUGAGAAGCGAAAGCAUGGGGAGCGAACAGG
rnacentral:rRNA from 1 species